rnacentral:rRNA from 1 species
UACGUAGGGGGCUAGCGUUGUCCGGAAUCAUUGGGCGUAAAGAGCGUGUAGGCGGCCCGAUAAGUCCGCUGUGAAAGUCCAGGGCUCAACCCUGGGAUGCCGGUGGAUACUGUCGGGCUCGAGUCCGGAAGAGGCGAGUGGAAUUCCUGGUGUAGCGGUGAAAUGCGCAGAUAUCAGGAGGAACACCAAUGGCGAAGGCAGCUCGCUGGGACGUGACUGACGCUGAGACGCGAAAGCGUGGGGAGCAAACAGG